UGAGAGCCCACCCCUCAAAAAAAAAAAUUGGGUUUUUUUCCCUUCCUUCAUCUUCUUCCCCUUCCUUGAGAGCAGCUGCCGCUGCCGUCACCGGAGCCCCGUCACCGCCGGAGCCGCCAUCGCCGUCGGGAAGCCUCACGUCGACGACCGGAGGGGUUCGUGAUAUCUGUGGCAGGGAUCUUUUAAGCGAACCCAGGUGAUGACAUGUGAUUAUAGGGAUUAUGGGACGGAGUGAUCAUGAUGUAUUUAGCUAGUAGACAUUGACUUUCCUUUUGACAUGUGUAUAUAUUUAUGGACAUUUGAUAUGGAAACUGGAAUUUAUCUU